CUGAGUGAUGGAAAACAGGAUUUGAUGCUGAUUGUGCCGAAAAUGAUGUUCCAAAAGGCCAACCUGUGCUUGUUGA